CAGUGGUUAAAUAGGUGCCUUGCAGAUGAUAACUGUGAUAAGGAAGUUAUGAGGAAAAGUGGCAUUCUUGGAGAGUCAAGUACUCUGACUUCAUUGCAUUUGCUGAAGGGAAAAAAAAAGGGCACUUAUUCUAACCAAAGGGCUUUAGACUUGGGAGUGCCCUCUUCUUGAUGUCCAGUCUUACUCAUAAGUAAAGAAUUGCAGCUCUUCCACAGGAGGCCUACACACCGCUGCUUGUGCUGCCGCCGUGUCUCUAGUGAUCCCUGAAAAGUUCCAGCAUAUUUUGCGAGUACUCAACACCAACAUCGAUGGGCGGCGGAAAUAGUCUUUGCCGUCUGUUAUAAAGGGUGUGGGCCGAAGAUAUGCUCAUGUGGUGUUGAGGAAAGCAGACAUUGACCUCACCAAGAGGGCGGGAGAACUCACUGAGGAUGAAGUGGAACGUGUGAUCACCAUUAUGCAGAAUCCAUGCCAGUACAAGAUCCCAGACUGGUUCUUGAACAGACAGAAGGAUGCAAAGGAUGAAAAUAUAGCUAGGUCCUAGCCAAUGGUCUGUACAACAAGCUCUGUGAAGACCUGGAGCGACUGAAGAAGAUUCGGGCCCAUAGAGGGCUGCGCCACUUCUGGGGCCUUCGUGUCCGAGGCCAGCACACCAAGACCACUUGCCGCCGUGGCCGCACCGUGGAUGUGUCCAAGAAGAAGUAAGUCUGUAGACCUUGUCUGUUAAUAAAUAGUUUAUAUACC